UCUGCCUCUGCAGCUGCUCCAGCAAAGGAUCCUAACAAAUGGAGCACAGGAAGGAAAGGGCAGACCACAAGGCAAGGCAACAGCAGUGUGGUGGGGAGACAGGCUUUAGGUCUUUGGCCAAUAAAAACAUUAGUAGUAGUAGACUGGAGAUGGUCUGCAAGCAAGCAGGCAGGCCUGGAAUGUGACUGAAAGUCAACUAGGAAGUGGGACCAGGAAUGAGAGAGAGCAGAAGGCAGGGAACAGUCUUGGGAGGCAGUGACAGGACAGAUGGGUCGCCUGCUUCUUGUCCUAACCUCCAUCCCUCAGGUACAGCAGACUUUUUGUUUUCUUCAUCUUCUCUGGCCACAUUUCAUCUUGUCUAUGUGCCGACUGUGUCCCUGUGGCUGAGCAGCAGCCUCCUCAGACCAUCCUGCUGUCCAGCAUCCUGACCAUCCGGCCAAAACAUCCAUAUUCUGGACAAGAUUUCCUGGAGCGCUGGGAGUGUGCUGCAGCACAAGCAGGACUCCAAUGGCAGCACCCAGGCCUGGACAGGAUGGGGGCCCCCACUGUUCUCCUGCCUGCAAAUGCCAUGUUUCUCUUACAUUUCACGAUUCUAAAAAGAUACUACUUUCAUCCUGUCCUGAAAAUACGAGGUGCCUCACUUUCUUUCUCUGAGCACACAGAAAAGUCAUCAUUAUUUUUGUGUGCAUAAUGCUUUAGUGCUUGCAAACCUAGUUGUGAGUAAACACCUUUCACGUGAGCAGAGGCUGCAGGGACUGGUCUUUGCAUGAUCAGGGAUGUUUCAUAUUGAUGAAAAGACACUUGGCAUUUUAUUUUUACUUUCCAGCAAUGGCUUUUUAUUAGUGAUUCAUGGUAUCGUCUUGAGUUAAAUAGAGACAAACAGUGAAAGAGAGUUUUCUCUCAGGUUGUCAUGACUGUUUAUUUGUUAUGUUUUUUCUUUCUAAAAUACAGAAAACUGUGGCUAGAACUUCCAGCCCAAAGGCAUGUUCCUACUUCUAGCUGUGAUCCAGCCCUUCUAUGCUCAUGUCAUCAGACUCCUUGGGAAUGUGGAAACAGAGAUUUUUUUUAUUUAAGGAAAGAGGACAAUGAUCAGGAGAAGCUUGGCCAUACUCUCUAUGUUUUUAUACAAGAAAAAGAACAGGACAAAAAUUGCAAAAACAGCUUUGCCCAUUGUCUGGAAACAAAUAAAGAAUGCCUAGCUUUA